rnacentral:rRNA from 1 species
CCUACGGGAGGCAGCAGUGGGGAAUCUUGCGCAAUGGGGGGAACCCUGACGCAGCGACACCGCGUGCGGGGCGGAGGCCUUCGGGUCGUAAACCGCUUUCAGCAGGGAAGAGUCAAGACUGUACCUGCAGAAGAAGCCCCGGCUAACUACGUGCCAGCAGCCGCGGUAAUACGUAGGUGCCAGCAGCCGCGGUAAUACGUAGGUGCCAGCAGCCGCGGUAAUACGUAGGUUCCAGCAGCCGCGGUAAU